UUGUAGCUAGUUUUUUUUUGCAGUACAGUAGGCCUACAAAUGGAAGGGACACCUCCAAGACACCAUGAUGUUUUGCCAGGCUGUACCUUAGUUUGUGUGGAACCAGGGAACCCAUGAAGGGGAAGGGACACUCCCAGUACAGUAGGCCUACAAAUGGAAGGGACACCUCCAAGACACCAUGAUGUUUUGCCGGGCUGUACCUUAGUUUGUGUGGAACCAGGGAACCCAUGAAUGGGGAAGGGACACUCCCAGGUAUAUGUGUAGUGUGCAUCACAACAUUCCGUUUUGUACACACAAAAACAAAACACAAGCUAUAACA